rnacentral:lncRNA from 1 species
UCCUAAAAAAAUUAUAAAGUGCAGCGAUUCCAGUUGUCGCCAAGGACUGCUUUAUGGAACUUUGGCGAGGAGGUCUAGUGUGUAGUACAGUCUAUGGCCACUGGGGGCAGCAACAAGUGUAGAUCUGUGGAAAAUAGCAAAAAUAAUCCUGUAAACAACCAUAGUCGAAACUGCAUGCCGAUGGGCCGUGAGCUGCCCGUGCUAAAGAUGUGGAUGUUGCAAACUCCGGCCGAGUGGAGCCGUGGCCAUCGGCAUCUCCAUAGGAGCCACCUGGCCGGAUCAUUCACAGGAGCUGCCUCGCCGCCAGCGACAUCGACAAGCGCGAGAACCCUCUCUCCUCCCUCUCCUUCCUUCUCUUCCUCCUCCUCUCUUUAAUCUCUCCUCUCCCUCUCUUCUGCAGGAGGAGCCAUGCCGUCCCGAGUCGCCCUGCAGCCCCGUAGCCACCGCCUACAUGGUUCGUCAUCGGCCACCCGAGACCCUCUCUCGACGCUGGUCUGCUGCACCUCGCCGGAGUGCAGUUGCCCGCCUCGUGCGUCGGUUGUGCAGGACGAGGGUGAGCGCCCACUCGCCAGCCCGUCUCGCCCUUGCCUCAUGCAUCGCCAGCGCUAGGCCGCCGGCCCAGCCCCAGCCGGUCUGCCCCG